rnacentral:rRNA from 1 species
GAUGAACGCUAGCGGCAGGCCUAACACAUGCAAGUCGAGGGAGGAGCUUUCAGGCUUCGACCGGCGUAGGGGGGCGUAACGCGUCGACAAUCUGCCUUUCACAUAGGGAUAGCCCGAAGGAAUUUGGCGUAAUACCUAUUGGUAUAUAGGAGCGGACUCACAUCUAUUGUAAACAUGGGACGGUCAAAGAUGAGGCUGCGUUAUAUUACCUGGUUGGAGAGGUAACUGCUCCCCAAGGCGACGAUAGAAAGGGGUUAUGAGGGGGAUAUCCCCCACACUGGUACUGAGAUACGGACCAGACUCCUACGGGAGGCAGCAGUGAGUAAUAUUGGACAAUGGUCGGUAGACUGAUCCAGCCAUGCCGCGUGCAGGAAGACGGCCUUAUGGGUUGUAAACUGCUUUUGCAGGAGAAGAAUAAGGACUACGAGUAGUUUGAUGACGGCACUCAGCGAAUAAGCAUCGGCUAACUCCGUG